UACGAAGGGGGCUAGCGUUGCUCGGAAUUACUGGGCGUAAAGCGCACGUAGGCGGCUUUCUAAGUCGGGGGUGAAAUCCUGGAGCUCAACUCCAGAACUGCCCUUGAUACUGGCGGUCUCGAGUCCGGGAGAGGUGAGUGGAACUGCGAGUGUAGAGGUGAAAUUCGUAGAUAUUCGCAAGAACACCAGUGGCGAAGGCGGCUCACUGGCCCGGUACUGACGCUGAGGUGCGAAAGCGUGGGGAGCAAACAGGG
rnacentral:rRNA from 1 species